CCACGUGGGGAAGUUUGAUAACUUUGAGUUAAGAUUGCCGGAGUGGAUUUCCUCAUAAAUGCAGACACACUAAGGCCACGCCUACCCUUGUGGCAGUGUGUGUGGUGUAUGCAUAGCUACACGCCGCAGUAGGGUGACCAGAUGUCCUGAUUUUAUAGGGACAGUCCCGAUUUUUGGGUCUUUUUCUUAUAUAGGCUCCUAUUACCCCCCCACCCCCGUCCUGAUUUUUUACACUUGCUGUCUGGUCACCCUACGCCGCAGUGAAAAGCAGGCUGCAGCCACACUGUGGUGUGUUGCUACACGUGACAGUGAAAGGCUCUUGCGGGGGGCCGCAGCAGGACUCUACACCAUGUGGACGUGGGAGACACUGCUUGGCAUGUACAUCUGUACCAAGUGAAGAGGCUCAUCUGAGUGCAUGGUAGGAUUUGCAAUACAGGAUCUGACCAUCAAACCGUCUAGACCAGCAGCCGUCAGCGGCCAGUAUCUGAGGCGUCAGACGAAGCAAUGAAGCUAUGUUCACAAGGUUUCAAGCUGUUAAAUCAGAAGAGAAUCCAAGCAGAGUGAAGAUGGAAAUUGGCUCCUCAUUGGAUUCCUCAAGCAAUACUUUUUGGUCAAUUUCACUUGGUAGAAUAUCAUCAGCCAAUAGUUUGUUAUUGUUGUCAUCCUGAACUAAAAGCAUCAUGUCAGAGUCAGGUUGGGUGUCAGUAUUAAAAACAGCAUUUUUCAAUAUUGAGUAAGUUAUUGGCCUAUCUUGUUUUUAGACAGGAAGCAUUUUGAAUAUUUUAGAUUAAUAAUUUGGCUCUAUGUAAAGAUAGGCAGAUUUACUCACAUGGUUGUGCAAAUGUUGCAUCUACUUCCUUUUUAAGAUCAGAAGAAACUUCAUGAACAGUUGAUGUAUCUACAGGCAAAGGGGCCUCCGUAUGCGGUGAGUCUGGGCUGGACGUGACUUUACUGGUAUUGAUACGUUCAGAAACUUUACUUAACUUCUGUCUUUUCCCACUUGCUGUGGCUUUAGCUGCUGCAAACAGAUUGGCAAACUGAGGCAUGUCUUUUAGAAUUUGAAAAUUCGAGAUGAGCAUGGCAUCUUCUCACAUGUUCAUUAAAAUAGUCUUUCUGAAAAGUACGUCUGCACUUGGAACAACGCACUAGCACUCCAUUGCUUCUUGAUGCAGAUUUUUUAUUUUUCACUCCGGACAUGCUCUGAAAAAGUCAAAUAAACAUUUGGGAAUCCAGAAUUAACAAGAUUAUCAGAUUUUAUUACAGUAGCGGCUAUUAAUCCAUGAGAGAACCAGUGUGACCCUGUCAAAGACAAUAGACCUGAUUCCAUAUAGACUCCUAGACUUUAAUGCCAGAAGGGACCAUCAUGAUCAUCUACUCUGAUCUGCUGCACAUUGCAGGCCACAGAACCUCACCCACCCACUCCUGUAAUAGACCCCUAACCUCUGGCUGAGUUACUGAAGUCCUCAAAUAGGUUGUAUGUCUACAUUAACCAAAAAUUCCUGUUAAGUACCACACAAUGAACUGCAGAUAAACCAACUUAAUGGACAAAUAUGAAAAUACCUAUGAACGUUGCUUAAAGUUCAAGCAAGAUUGUGAGAAAACUAUUUUCCACUAAAAAUUGUUGGAGAAUUUAUAAAUGUGUUGACUUAUCUUGUUCACUGAGUGGUUGUUGAGGAUUUUUAAAACCAUCUAUCAUCUUAAAGAAACAAGAAGGUCUUAAUGAAAACAGAAUCUAUGUUGUCAUGUGACUUUGUUCAUAAUUACAUUUACUACUUCACUUCUUGUUGAUCAUUCAUCUGUUACUUACCUUGGGAAAAACAACAUUGCUUGCUAUUUUUAUCGAUUGCUAUUGUUACUUGUCACUCACACCAAUGUAAAUCACAGAAAUAAAUGUGAGA